rfam:Strongylocentrotus purpuratus Contig77137_fixed, whole genome shotgun sequence.
GACGAGGUGGCCGAGUGGUUAUGGCGAUGGUUUGCUAAUCCAUUGUGCUCUGCACGCGUGGGUUCGAAUCCCAUCCUCGUCG